rnacentral:misc_RNA from 1 species
AAAUAGAUGGCCCGGAUGUUGUUUCAUGGAAUUCGGUAAUUGGGGGUUUGGUGGACUCAGGUUUUGUUGAGGAGGCAAGGUGGACGUUUGAUAGAAUGCCAGAGAGGAGUUUGGUUACUUGGAAUUGUUUGAUUGAUGGGUAUAUUAAGAUAGGGCUGCUUAAGGAGGCUAGAAAAUUGUUUGAUCAAAUGGAAGGGAGGGAUUCGGUUUCUUGGAAUAC